GACGAACGCUGGCGGCGUGCUUAACACAUGCAAGUCGAACGGAAAGGCCCUGCUUUUGUGGGGUGCUCGAGUGGCGAACGGGUGAGUAACACGUGAGUAACCUGCCCUUGACUUUGGGAUAACUUCAGGAAACUGGGGCUAAUACCGGAUAGGAGCUCCUGCUGCAUGGUGGGGGUUGGAAAGUUUCGGCGGUUGGGGAUGGACUCGCGGCUUAUCAGCUUGUUGGUGGGGUAGUGGCUUACCAAGGCUUUGACGGGUAGCCGGCCUGAGAGGGUGACCGGCCACAUUGGGACUGAGAUACGGCACAGACUACUACGGGAGGGAGAAGUGGGGAAUAUUGCACAAUGGGAGGAAGGCUGAUGCAGAAACGCCGCGUGCGGGAUGACGGCCUUCGGGUUGUAAACCGCUUUCGCCUGUGACGAAGCGUGAGUGACGGUAAUGGGUAAAGAAGCACCGGCUAACUACGUG
rnacentral:rRNA from 1 species